rnacentral:sRNA from 1 species
ACAGAAGACUUCGACCAACAAUUGAUGUCACAAUGUGCAGCUGACAUUCCUCAGGAACUGGAGUCAGAUACAUCAAGACAAAAGCCAUUCUAUAAUUAUAGUCAUUAUUUCAAGGAAUCCAUGAAGCUCAAGGUCAAAUUAGGUAAUUCAUUUGUAAACAGGUGAUGACAGCAUCAUCAGCAUACAGGAGUUCCCUGGUAAACAGGUGAUGACAGCAUCAUCAGCAUACAGGAGUUCCCU